rnacentral:rRNA from 1 species
ACGACAAAUAGACGUCAGCCUGCGAGUGACUCUGUUCACGGCCGCGGUAUCCUAACCGUGCGAAGGUAGCGUAAUCACUUGUUCUUUAUAUGUGGACUAGUAUGAAUGGCAUCACGAAGGUUAUACUGUCUCCUUUUUCUAAUCAGUGAAACUAAUCUCCCCGUGAAGAAGCGAGGAUAACACUAUGAGACGAGAAGACCCUAUGGAGA